GGGGAAUAUUGCGCAAUGGGGGAAACCCUGACGCAGCAACGCCGCGUGAAGGAUGAAGGUCUUCGGAUUGUAAACUUCUUUGAUUGGGGAAGAAGAAAUGACUGUACCCAAAAAACAAGCCACGGCUAACUACGUGCCAGCAGCCGCGGUAAUACGUAGGUGGCAAGCGUUGUCCGGAAUUACUGGGUGUAAAGGGCGUGUAGGCGGGGAUGCAAGUCAGAUGUGAAAUUCCGGGGCUCAACCUCGGAGCUGCAUCUGAAACUGCAACUCUUGAGUACUGGAGAGGAAAGUGGAAUUCCUAGUGUAGCGGUGAAAUGCGUAGAGAUUAGGAGGAACACCAGUGGCGAAGGCGGCUUUCUGGACAGUAACUGACGCUGAGGCGCGAAAGCGUGGGGAGCGAAC
rnacentral:rRNA from 1 species